GCACUGCUGACGAGUCCCAAACAGGACUAAACAGUUGUCCAGUGC
rnacentral:hammerhead_ribozyme from 1 species